rnacentral:rRNA from 1 species
UACGUAGGGCGCAAGCGUUUGUCCGGAAUUAUUGGGCGUAAAGAGCUCGUAGGCGGCUUGUCACGUCGGGUGUGAAAGACCGGGGCUUAACCCCGGUUCUGCAUUCGAUACGGCUGGCGUAGAGUGUGGUAGGGGAGAUCGGAAUUCCUGGUGUAGCGGUGAAAUGCGCAGAUAUCAGGAGGAACACCGGUGGCGAAGGCGGAUCUCUGGGCCAUUACUGACGCUGAGGAGCGAAAGCCAGGGGAGCAAACGGG